AGCAGCCGCGGUAAUUCCAGCUCCAAUAGCGUAUAUUAAAGUUGUUGCAGUUAAAAAGCUCGUAGUUGAAUUUCGGGAUCAAUAUGUCGGUCGUGCCUCGGUACGUACUGGCAUUGUUGGUUUCUCCCUUCUGACGAACCAUGAUGUCAUUUAUUUGGUGUUGUGGGGAAUCAGGACUGUUACUUUGAAAAAAUUAGAGUGUUUAAAGCAGGCUCACGCUUGAAUACAUUAGCAUGGAAUAAUGAAAUAGGACGUUUGAUCCUAUUUUGUUGGUUUCUAGGAUUGACGUAAUGAUUAAUAGGGAUAGUUGGGGGCAUUAGUAUUCAAUUGUCAGAGGUGAAAUUCUUGGAUUUAUUGAAGACUAACUACUGCGAAAGCAUUUGCCAAGGAUGUUUUCAUUAAUCAAGAACGAAAGUUAGGGGAUCGAAGACGAUCAGAUACCGUCGUAGUCUUAAACCAUAAAACUAUGCCGACUAGGGAUCGGAUGAUGUUAAUUUUUUAAUGACUCAUUCGGCGCCUU
rnacentral:rRNA from 1 species